AGAGUUGAUCAUGGCUCAGGACGAACGCUGGCGGCAUGCUUCAUACAUGCAAGUCGAACGAUAAGGUCUCUUCGGAGAUACAUAAGUGGCGGACGGGUGAGUAAUAUGUAGGAAAUCUGCCCUAGAGAGGGGGACAACAGAGGGAAACUUCUGCUAAUACCCCAUAUGAGCGUACCUGAAAUGGUAUUCUUGAAAACUCCGGUGCUCUAGGAUGAGCCUGCAUCUGAUUAGCUAGUUGGCGGUGUAAUGGACCACCAAGGCGACGAUCAGUAGCUGGUUUGAGAGGAUGAUCAGCCACAAUGGGACUGAGACACGGCCCAUACUCCUACGGGAGGCAGCAGUAGGGAAUUUUGCGCAAUGGGCGAAAGCCUGACGCAGCAAUGCCGCGUGAACGUAGAAGCCCUUCGGGGUGUAAAGUUCUGUCAGUGGGGACGAAUUUUGACGGUACCCACAGAGGAAGCACCGGCUAACUCCGUGCCAGCCGCGGC
rnacentral:rRNA from 1 species